rnacentral:rRNA from 1 species
AUUGAACGCUGGCGGCAGGCCUAACACAUGCAAGUCGAGCGAGCGGAGGACGGGUGAGUAAUGUCUGGGAAACUGUCUGUUGGAGGGGGAUAACUACUGGAAAAGGUAGCUAAUACCGCAUACCAUCAGAUGUGCCCAGGUGGGGUUAGCUAGUAGGUGGGGGAACGGCUCACCUAGGCGACGAUCCCUAGCUGGUCUGCGAGGAUGACCAGCCACACUGGGACUGAGACACGGUCCAGACUCCUACGGGAGGCAGCAGUGGGGAAUAUUGGACAAUGGCCGCAAGCCUGACGCAGCAAUGCCGCGUGUGUGAAGAAGGUCUUCGGGUUGUAAAGCACUUUCAGCGGGGAAGCGUUACCCGAAGAAGAAGCCCCGGCUAACUCCGUGCCAGCAGCCGCGGUAAUAC